rnacentral:piRNA from 1 species
UGUGGUUCACAACCAUUGGUGACUCCAGUC